GAUGAACGCUGUCUACAGGCUUAACACAUGCAAGUCGAGGGGAAACGACGGGGAAGCUUGCUUCCCCGGGCGUCGACCGGCGCACGGGUGAGUAACGCGUAUCCAACCUGCCUCUGACUGAGGGAUAACCCGUCGAAAGUCGGCCUAAUACCUCAUGGCAUCGUCUGCGGGCAUCCAAAGACGAUUAAAGAUUUCAUCGGUCAGGGAUGGGGAUGCGUCUGAUUAGCUUGUUGGCGGGGUAACGGCCCACCAAGGCUACGAUCAGUAGGGGUUCUGAGAGGAAGGUCCCCCAGAUUGGAGCUGAGACACAGUCCAAACUCGUACGGGAGGCAGCAGUGAGGAAUAUUGGUCAAUGGGCGGGAGCCUGAACCAGCCAAGUAGCGUGCAGGAUGACGGCCCUAUGGGUUGUAAACUGCUUUUAUGCGGGGAUAAAGUGAGGGACGUGUCCUUCAUUGCAGGUACCGCAUGAAUAAGGACCGGCUAAUUCCGUG
rnacentral:rRNA from 1 species